ACGAACGCUGGCGGCGUGCUUAACACAUGCAAGUCGAACGGAAAGGCCCUGCUUUUGUGGGGUGCUCGAGUGGCGAACGGGUGAGUAACACGUGAGUAACCUGCCCUUGACUUUGGGAUAACUUCAGGAAACUGGGGCUAAUACCGGAUAGGAGCUCCUGCUGCAUGGGGGGGGUUGGAAAGUUUCGGCGGUUGGGGAUGGACUCGCGGCUUAUCAGCUUGUUGGUGGGGUAGUGGCUUACCAAGGCUUUGACGGGUAGCCGGCCUGAGAGGGUGACCGGCCACAUUGGGACUGAGAUACGGCCCAGACUCCUACGGGAGGCAGCAGUGGGGAAUAUUGCACAAUGGGCGGAAGCCUGAUGCAGCAACGCCGCGUGCGGGAUGACGGCCUUCGGGUUGUAACCCGCUUUCGCCUGUGACGAAGCGUGAGUGACGGUAAUGGGUAAAGAAGCACCAGCUAACUACGUG
rnacentral:rRNA from 1 species